CAGCAGCCGCGGUAAUUCCAGCUCCAAUAGCGUAUAUUAAAGUUGUUGCAGUUAAAAAGCUCGUAGUUGAACCUUGGGCCUGGCUGGCCGGUCCGCCUCACCGCGUGCACUGGUCCGGCCGGGUCUUUCCUUCUGGGGAGCCGCAUGCCCUUCACUGGGUGUGUCGGGGAACCAGGACUUUUACUUUGAAAAAAUUAGAGUGUUCAAAGCAGGCAUAUGCUCGAAUACAUUAGCAUGGAAUAAUAGAAUAGGACGUGUGGUUCUAUUUUGUUGGUUUCUAGGACCGCCGUAAUGAUUAAUAGGGAUAGUCGGGGGCAUCAGUAUUCAAUUGUCAGAGGUGAAAUUCUUGGAUUUAUUGAAGACUAACUACUGCGAAAGCAUUUGCCAAGGAUGUUUUCAUUAAUCAGUGAACGAAAGUUAGGGGAUCGAAGACGAUCAGAUACCGUCGUAGUCUUAACCAUAAACUAUGCCGACUAGGGAUCGGGCGAUGUUAUCUUUUUGACUCGCUCGGCACCUCACGAGAAAUCAAAGUCUUUGG
rnacentral:rRNA from 1 species